rnacentral:rRNA from 1 species
AUUGAACGCUGGCGGAAUGCUUUACACAUGCAAGUCGAACGGCAGCACGGACUUCGGUCUGGUGGCGAGUGGCGAACGGGUGAGUAAUAUAUCGGAACGUAUCCAAUAAUGGGGGAUAACUAAUCGAAAGGUUGGCUAAUACCGCAUACGUCCUACGGGAGAAAGCUAGGGACCUUCGGGCCUGGCGUUAAUGGAGCGGCCGAUAUCGGAUUAGCUAGUUGGUGAGGUAAAGGCUCACCAAGGCGACGAUCCGUAGCUGGUCUGAGAGGACGACCAGCCACACUGGAACUGAGACACGGUCCAGACUCCUACGGGAGGCAGCAGUGGGGAAUUUUGGACAAUGGGCGAAAGCCUGAUCCAGCCAUUCCGCGUGAGUGAAGAAGGCCUUCGGGUUGUAAAGCUCUUUCGCAAGAGAAGAAAACUUACCCUCUAACAUAGGGUGAGGUUGACGGUAUCUUGAUAAGAAGCACCGGCUAACUACGUGCCAGCCGCCGCAGUAA